CAGCAGCCUCGGGAAUACGAAGGGUGCAAGCGUUAAUCGGAAUUACUGGGCGUAAAGCGCGCGUAGGCGGCCUGUUAAGUCGGAUGUGAAAGCCCGGGGCUCAACCCCGGAACUGCAUCCGAGACUGGCAGGCUUGAGACCGGGAGAGGAGGGUGGAAUAUCCAGUGUAGAGGUGAAAUUCGUAGAUAUUGGAUGGAACACCGGUGGCGAAAGCGGCUCUCUGGCCCGGAUCUGACGCUGAGGCGCGAAAGCGUGGGGAGCAAACAGGAUUAGAUACCCCGGUAGUCCCUGUCUCUUAUAC
rnacentral:rRNA from 1 species